rnacentral:rRNA from 1 species
AAACAUGGACUAAUACCGCAUAUACUCUUGCUACACAAGUGGCGUAGAGGAAAGGAGCAAUCCGCUUUACGAUGAGCCUGCGGCCUAUUAGCCUGUUGGUGGGGUAACGGCCUACCAAAGCUACGAUAGGUAGCCGACCUGAGAGGGUGACCGGCCACAUUGGGACUGAGAUACGGCCCAGACUCCUACGGGAGGCAGCAGCUGAGAAUCUUCCACAAUGGACGAAAGUCUGAUGGAGCGACAUCGCGUGAGGGAUGAAGGCCUUCGGGUUGUAAACCUCGGAAAUUAUCGAAGAAUGAGUGACAGUAGAUAAUGUAAGCCUCGGCUAACUACGUGCCAGCAGCCGCGGUAAUACGUAGGAGGCAAACGUUGCUCGGAUUUACUGGGCGUAAAGGGUGAGUAGGCGGACUUAUAAGUCUAAGGUGAAAGACCGAAGCUCAACUUCGGGAACGCCUCGGAUACUGUAAGUCUUGGAUAUUGUAGGGGAUGAUGGAAUUCUCGGUGUAGCGGUGGAAUGCGCAGAUAUCGAGAGGAACACCUAUAGCGAAGGCAGUCAUCUGGGUAUUUAUCGACGCUGAAUCACGAAAGCUAGGGUAGCAAACAGGCUUAGAUACCCUGGUAGUCCUAGCCGUAAACGUUGUACACUAGGUGCUUCUAUCUAAAUAGGAGUGCCGUAGCUAACGUCUUAAGUGUACCGCCUGAGGAGUAUGCCCGCAAGGGUGAAACUCAAAGAAAUUGACGGGUCCCCGCACAAGUGGUGGAGCAUGUGGUUUAAUUCGAUGAUACGCGAAAAACCUUACCUGGGUUUGAAUUGUAAGAUGAAUGAUUUAGAGAUAAGUCAGACCGCAAGGACGUUUUACAUAGGUGCUGCAUGCCUGUCGUCAGCUCGUGUCGUGAGAUGUUGGGUUAAGUCCCGCAACGAGCGCAACCCUCACCCUUUGUUGCUACCGAGUAAUGUCGGGCACUCUUAGGGGACUGCCUACGUUCAAGUAGGAGGAAGGUGGGGAUGAUGUCAAGUCCUCAUGGCCCUUAUGUCCAGGGCUACACACGUGCUACAAUGGCAAGUACAAAGAGAUGCGAGACCGCGAGGUGGAGCGAAACUCAAAAAAGUUGCCUCAGUUCGGAUUGGAGUCUGAAACUCGACUCCAUGAAGUUGGAAUCACUAGUAAUCGUAGAUCAGAACGCUACGGUGAAUACGUUCCCGGGGAUUGUACAC